GUAGUCAUAUGCUUGUCUCAAAGAUUAAGCCAUGCAUGUCUAAGUAUAAGCAAUUAUACCGCGAAACUGCGAAUGGCUCAUUAUAUAAGUUAUCGUUUAUUUGAUAGUACCUUACUACUUGGAUAACCGUGGUAAUUCUAGAGCUAAUACAUGCUAAAAAUCCCGACUUCGGAAGGGAUGUAUUUAUUAGAUUAAAAACCAAUGCCCUUCGGGGCUCACUGGUGAUUCAUGAUAACUCCUCGAAUCGCAUGGCCUUGUGCCGGCGAUGGUUCAUUCAAAUUUCUUCCCUAUCAACUUUCGAUGUUUGGGUAUUGGCCAAACAUGGUUGCAACGGGUAACGGGGAAUA
rnacentral:rRNA from 1 species